rnacentral:rRNA from 1 species
AUUGAACGCUGGCGGCAUGCUUUACACAUGCAAGUCGAACGGGCUUAGGUGCUUGCACCUAAGUUAGUGGCGAACGGGUGAGUAAUGCAUCGGAACGUACCGUGUAGUGGGGGAUAACCCGGCGAAAGUCGGAUUAAUACCGCAUACGAUCUAAGGAUGAAAGCAGGGGAUCGCAAGACCUUGCGUUAUACGAGCGGCCGAUGUCGGAUUAGCUAGUUGGUAGGGUAAAGGCCUACCAAGGCAACGAUCCGUAGCGGGUCUGAGAGGAUGAUCCGCCACACUGGGACUGAGACACGGCCCAGACUCCUACGGGAGGCAGCAGUGGGGAAUUUUGGACAAUGGGCGAAAGCCUGAUCCAGCCAUGCCGCGUGAGUGAAGAAGGCCUUCGGGUUGUAAAGCUCUUUUGUCCGGGAGCAAAUCCUGUUCACUAAUACUGAGCGGGGCUGAGAGUACCGGAAGAAUAAGCUCCGGCUAACUACGUGCCAGCCGCCGCCGUAA